CUCGGCCAUCUUUUCUGUUUUGUUUUGUUUUUUUUCAGUUUUUCAGUUCUUUAUGGAUGUGUCUCCUGGUCAGAUUCAGGAUUUAUUAGUGUCACAGAGUCUGCAGGUCAGCUACAGGCAAGUGGCCAACACUAGGCUUGCCAUUUUUUUUGCUGCAGUGUGCUGUAAAGAGCCACAACGGAGAUUUUCUUCCCUGGUUAUUAGGAGAUGAAAAGAGAUCCCAUGCAUGGCUACUUCACUGAUAUAACAGGACCCAGCUUCAUGGCCAGAACCAGCUGGUUGCGAUGGUUGGUCAGAGCUUCGCGGUAGUUUCCCUUGGAGAAGAAUGCCGAGCCCAGAUUUCCAUGAGCACGGCAUUCCCCUGUUUGGUCACCUGAAGAGGAAAAACCCGAGAAGAGAUGAGGGGGGAAAAGAGCCAAGAAAGCAUAUUUACGUUCAGACAUCUUACCUAAGGUCUUGGCCACCUCCAAGUCCUGCUGCAUGUAGCCAGUGCUCUUCUCGGUGUUGCCCAGGGACCAGUGGGC